rnacentral:sRNA from 1 species
CUUUUACAUUUCUCAUGGAGCUUCUUUUUACCCUCAGCCAAAAUUUUCCUUCUUUUUCUAAAUUUUCAGAUUUAGAUUCAUCAAACCCACUCCCCAAAUUUAACUUCGUAUUUGCCCCCAAAUUUUAAAAAACCUAUCACAAUAUCUCCUAAAUCACAUUUUGGCGUUCCCUCUACGACCACAUUUUCCCUCUUCACAGUUCUAAUUUCUCUUCCCUGCAUCACAAUCUCGAAUCUCUCCAGAAGCUUCUUCUCACCAAAGCCAUCUUCAUCGACGAAGACACGUUCUCCAAAGCCUUCCUUACCGCUGACCAAGCCCGCUCCAUCAAACUGCUCCAGCCACGAGUUGAGAUAUUGGAGAGAGAGGUUGACGCAGCCAUCACCGCUGCCGCUCGCCCUCGCUCCGAGAAACGACAAGCUGAGGCCGCUCAGAAAGUCGUCGACUUGCGCGCAUAGGAGAGCUGGAAAGCGUUAAAAAAUGAAAUAGGGACCCCGGGAGUGAUUCAUACGACAGUUUAUGAUUUUUUUGAAAUAGGACACCGGGAGUGAAGUUCAUGGUGGCGCUUGAUAUCGGAAGUGACCUGUUCUGGGUACCCUGUGAUUGCACAAGAUGUCUUGCUACUGAUAGCCCAGCCUUUGCUUCGCUGGGGAAAUCAUGGGUCGAAUCUGACAGAGGAGGAGCUUGAAACACAUUCCAUAUCAGCUUGGAAAGAAAGAAAGUGUUAUCUGAAUAGGCAGAACAAUGGAGUUGUGUUUUCCAGACGUUUUAUCCAUGUAAGUUUUUUUAUGGUCGUACUUGCUUAGCUUGGGAGCUGUUGCUGAUAUGCAUUUGGGUGUUUAAUGGACUGCAUUUUCUCUGGGGUGUGUAUGGCUGUUUUAAGAGGUUUCACAUAAACCACUUGGGAUGUAUUGGAGGUUCUUAUUAGAUGGUAGUUUCUUCUGCUGUAUUCAACAUUUAAGCAUGUACUGUCGUAUAUUGAGUUAUAUUUUUCUUUUGUCAAAGCAAACCAGAAAAGAAAUGGUCGUGCCUGCAAGUUGGUGAUUACUGAGCGUCUAUUGGUUAUGUUUUUGUAUCUUCUCGUCAUUGUUAAACUUAUCUAGUACUUAUAAUUUUUCGGAGGUUUUUUUCCUAAUAUUAAAUUAUAAAAGUGAGCGAUGUCAGGUUUUUUAGUCUCACGGAAUUUGUGGUUUUGAUUUUCAAUAUUGAUGUUUGCAUUAUUGUCGGUGAUGGGUGCCCAACUUUCUCGAGGUAGCAUUUGAUUUUCAAAAUUUCUCCUAGAAUAGUGUAUCUUUUGAUUGGAGAUUGAGAGUUUGUUGAAUUGAGAAAUUUACACGUGAAUUACAAAAGUGACAGUUAUAUCUGGUUGUAGAAAAAUGUUUUUUUUCAAAUUGUGAUUUGUGCAGUUUUUCAUGAUGAGAAAGUGCCUAUGUUUGGCAAACUGUGUAUCUAAGUUUUAUCGUAUGCUUAUUUCAUAUUCAUCGUGUUUUUCACAGUCCGUGACAAAUUUUUAGGAGAUCCCUUUUCACUUUAUUGAUUGCAUACAUAUCCAUCUUCGCUCCAAAUUAAAGGUGCACACAACUUUCAUACUUUACCUGAAUUCUUUUAGUUUAUAGUAUGAUGGUUCAUUAGGAUUGAGGGUUUCGGGUUUCGGAUUCCGGGUUCCGGGUUCAACAUAAACUAUUUAUUGUAACAUGAAUAAAUAAAUAACAUACACGUCUUUGUUGCUUUCUAUUUUCCAUCUCUCCUGUCUUUGUUGCUAUAUUCCUUUCAUCACAAAUUUUCGUAUUUUUCCAUAAAGAUAUGAUCAUCAUUCUUAGCAGGUAAACUCGAGUAUGUUAGUCUUGCGUGUUUGGGCAAUUAACAAAUUUUGCUAAAGAAUAUAGAUGCCGGACAAAACAGUUAAUGUAACGUAGGCAUCACCCCUUAGACAUUACUUGUAGUUCUUUUAUGCAUUACAUAACCAACCAAAGAGCAAGCUGGUGCUAAGAUUCAUUUCUCGCAUUUAAUUCUUGUAUUUACUACGCAACCAGGGAAUCUUAAUUCUUGACG